AAGUAAAAUACCUGAGUCGCCAUGUUGAAGAGUGAAGAAUUCACUGAACAAAUCUAUCAAGGUGUCUGACCAUGUACCCCCGUACUUGGGCCCAGGAUGUGUUACGGUGUCAUCUCUGUGAGACCCCGGGCCCCCCUAUGUACUGUGACAUUUGUCACAUACAUCUGUGUAAAGCCUGUGUGGGGGAACAUCUCUCUGAUGAAUCCAAAGAACACAAAGUGGUAACAUUCAAAAAGCGGGGAUUCGCACCUGAAUGUUCAAAUCAUUCAAAAAAAUUCUGUGAACUUUAUUGCGAACAAUGUAACAUUCCUAUUUGUGUGCAGUGUGUCUCCUCAGGUGAACAUAUAGGACACAAACAAGUUGAAAUUCUAAAAACCCUUCAAAGCAAGAAAGAUGUACUACAGAGAGAUUUAGAUGAAUUAGAGAAAUUGAUUUAUCCUAAAUACCAAGAGAUUGCAUCUAAUAUCCCAGAUCAGAAAGCUGAUCUGCAUAAAAACUCCAAAAAAUUAACAACAGUUCUAGACAAACAUGGAGAAGACUUGCACAGAGAAAUAGACAUUGCCAUCAAGAAACUGAAAUCUGACGUGGAUGAAAUGGAAUCCAAACACCUGGUAGUCCUUGAUAAGCAGGAAAAUGAAAUCAAACACAUUAUUUCUGAAAUUGAACAUAGCAUUGCUGAUCUGAAGAAAUCACUCAACUCAAAUGAUGUAAGUCUUGUCUCUACUUACAAAUCCAGGGUUGCUGAAUUCAGAAUUUUGCCUCCUAAACUCACAGUUUCUUUACCAAGAUUCAUCCCUCAGAAGAUUAACAAAAAAAAGAUUUAUCAGCAGAUUGGGUCUCUCUCAGCGUUAUCUAUUAAAACAGAAGAACAUGGCUACACAUUGGGUUCUUCUGGUGCUGAGUCCUCUCCCCCGGACAGACCGCUCAUUGAUGUACCACGGAUCAUCACAGAAAUAAACACAGAGUAUGGAGAGUCUAAUAAAUUACGCAGCGUUUCCUAUCUGAGUGAUGAUGAAGUGUGGACGAGUGGUCAGGACAACAUGUUGAGACUCUACAACCUCCACAGUAAACUAGUGAAGUCAAUCCAAACCAAGUCAGGGAAGAUACCAGAGGACAUAGCAGUGACACAGAGUGGUGAACUAGUUUAUACUGAUCCCAAUGAUAGAACUGUGAACAUAGUGAAGAAUACACAGAUACAGACAGUGAUCAGACUACAGGGGUGGACACCUCUCUAUGUCUGUUGUACCUCCUCUGGUGACCUUCUGGUUGUCAUGAUCACUAAUGAUGAGAAACAAGCAAAAGUUGUGCGUUAUUCUGGCUCCACAGAGAAACAAACGAUUCAAUACAAUGACAAAGGACAACCUCUCUAUUCAUCUGAACCUAAACCUAAAUACAUCAGUGAGAACAAGAACCUAGAUAUCUGUGUAGCUGACUAUGGAGCUGAUGCAGUAGUAGUGAUCAAUCAGGCCGGCAAACUCCGGUUUAUAUACACUGGUCCACCCUCUACUACCAAGGUACGAUUUAAACCAGUCGGCAUCACUACAGACAGCCAGAGUCGGAUCCUGACAACAGACAGUAACAACCACCGUAUCCACAUCCUGGAUCAGGACGGACAUUCCUCCGCUACAUUGACAACUGUCAUUUACUGUAUCCAUACGGUAUAUGUGUUGACACCAGAGACAACCUCUUUGUGGCUGAAAACGAAACAGGUAAAGUGAAGAAAUUCCAAUAUUACAUGUAAACAAAUAUGACAAUUUUAUUCCAUGUCUACAAAGACAAUAUGACUUGUAAAUGUAAAUAAAUUUGUUGAGUAAAAAUGUUGUAC
rnacentral:sRNA from 1 species